rnacentral:rRNA from 1 species
AGGAUACACCUGUUCCCAUUCCGAACACAGAAGUUAAGCUCUUUAGCGCCGAUGGUACUUGGUGGGAAGCUGCCUGGGAGAGUAGGACGUAGCCGCGU